rnacentral:ncRNA from 1 species
AGAUAGAGGCGCGGUAUUUAUCAGUAGUCCACAUACCGGCGCGGAAACGCCGUGGACGAAAGGAAAUGCCGCCGAAGCGCUUGGCGGUUUUCCGGCUGCCAUCUGCUGGGACAGCGCAGAACAUGCGCUGUACUGUCGCUUUUUGCGGAGUGCUAUUCG